AUUGAACGCUGGCGGCAGGCCUAACACAUGCAAGUCGAGCGGAUGAAGGGAGCUUGCUCCUGGAUUCAGCGGCGGACGGGUGAGUAAUGCCUAGGAAUCUGCCUUGUAGUUGGGGAUAACGUCCGUAAACGGGCGCUAAUACCGCAUACGUCCUGAGGGAGAAAGUGGGGGAUCUUCGGACCUCACGCUAUCAGAUGAGCCUAGGUCGGAUUAGCUAGUUGGUGGGGUAAAGGCCUACCAAGGCGACGAUCCGUAACUGGUCUGAGAGGAUGAUCAGUCACACUGGAACUGAGACACGGUCCAGACUCCUACGGGAGGCAGCAGUGGGGAAUAUUGGACAAUGGGCGAAAGCCUGAUCCAGCAAUGCCGCGUGAGUGAAGAAGGUCUUCGGAUUGUAAAGCACUUUAAGUAGGGAGGAAGGGAAGUAAGUUAAUACCUUGCUGUUUUGACGGUACCAACAGAAUAAGCACCGGCUAACUUCGUG
rnacentral:rRNA from 1 species